rnacentral:lncRNA from 1 species
CAAAGACCUUCCUGUGCAUUUGUAAACAGCUGUUCCAUUGUGGCUGUAAACAGCUAGCUAGCUAAGCUAACUUAGUGUAGUUGUUUUUUUUACCAUUGUAUUCGUCGGUGGGAUGGUCCUUACUUCUGGGGGAAAUAAAAGUUUAUAGCUAGAUUUCCCAAAGAAUCAUUGCAGCGGGCUACAUUGCCUGCAUGGAUAGUAACGUUAGCAGCAGCAGGAGGUGGCGGCACCAGGAUGAUGUGUAGCACACGGAUACAGAGACCUGUGAAAGCUGAUAAACCCCGUCUGUGGAUGGUCCCAAAGAAAGUCCCAAGUUCUGGAGAGACUGAAGGAUGGUUUAGUGUCGCUGGGACUUGUGGAAAUCAGCAUGCAGCUAUGUUCCUGCAGCAAUGUCUUUGGUGUACCAGUCCAGCUCAAAUGUGUCAACAAAGAGGAAGAGGAAUUCCCAAGCAAGAUCGCAUGUGUCAAAUUAUAUAAUGAAGGCUGUUUUGAGAAAAGUGGCUGAAAAAAUAUAUAUACAUUUUCCACGUAGCAUAAAAACAACUUGCUAGCUGGCCUCCACCCACAUGGCUGGUUAGCUAGCACAACGGCUGUCUCAUGUCAUUUGAAUUGUAAUGCUAGCAACGACACAGCACAG